AAGUUAUAAUGUGGCCAACUGAGAAGUAGCUUAUUGAAGUGCUCCCAUGCUUCAAAGAAAAGGUCUUCAUCUUUUUGUUGGAAGGUUUGAAUCUCCCUUCUCAAUUU